CUACUUAGUUGGGUCAACUAUUAGAGGAAGCAGGGUAGACGUCUGGAUUAAGGCAGUUAGAAGCUAGGCAAGUUUCCUCAACAGCAGCUUAAGCAAUUUUAUAGAAUCCUAUUAGGUCAAGGGCCUGUAGGCAGUUAGAGCUUAACCCUAGUAACGGAGAGCUGGACCAGUAGCCCUGUACAGGGUUAUACCGGCGCGGAUCAAUAGCAGCUAUUGUUUUAGAAGAGAACACUCCCUCCCUGGACCUCCAGUUGAAAUGGGGUUUACUAUGACUGGUAGCAACGCAGAGGCCCUUAGCAUCCUAGAUAGCAGCAGUGACGCUGUUGGAGAUAACAGUGAUGGGGGCCGAGCUGGGGCGCUUUUCUGUUUUGGGGAUAGAAACCUUGAUCUUGCCAUGUCUGGAGUGAGGGGAACUAUUUUAAUCCCUGAUUUCACCAAGCUUUCAAGAUGGUUGGGAAGUCUCAUAGGUGACGGUGGAGACGGGAACGAUAGUGAAACGUCUCUGGAGGGUGUAGAUGCAGCAGGUGGGUCCCAGGCCUGUGAUGAGGGCCGUGGUGGUGGUGAUAGAGGUGAUAGAGGUGAUAGAGGUGCUGCUAUGGCUAAAUCCUUUGGUGGGUCCUUGGGUUGCGAGGCAGGAGCUCUUCUCUUGCUCCUUGAUGCCUCAGGGCGUGAAGGAGGUUAUCUGUCAGUUGUCUCACUCCACCUCUGAUCAGGUGUGGGCCUUUUCCUUUAAACAGAUCGUCGUGUUGCCAGAACAGAUUAAAGUUGUCAAUGAAAUGCAGUCCUCUGGACUCACAGACUUUGGACAGCCAUGUAUUCAACUGAACCAGCCGGCUGAGUUUGUUCUUCCUCCUAUCGAUGUUUGGGAGCGAUCCUGUCAUGCCCUCGACUUCUGGCGCUGGCUAGUGGCGGCUGGUUCCUGUUGUGCCUCCCUCUUUGGCUCUCUCUCUCUCUCUCAGGCACGGCUGGCGGCGGAGCGAGCAGACAAGUGUUUUAUGUAACUAAUCAGCUGAUUGGUGCCACGGGAUUGGUCCGUUUCUGCUGCAACAUGUCAGCCGACCUGGAUUUGAGCAAGCAGCCGGACCAUGCUCAGACGCCAGACCGUCGUACCAUGCACCGGAUCUGCUACCGAUCACCACCACCACCACCACCAACCAUCUAUCUUCAUGGUUCAUCUUCCACCAUCUGCCGCAUAUCUACCACCUGACUCCGCACUACAACUGUCUGCUCUGGUUCCUGGUUCUGCCGUUCUCCGGUUCACUCCGCCGCCAGCUGCUGCUCCCUGCUCUCCGUUCGUAUAGAGCCAGUUAAGCCGUCUCCGCUCUGUCUGCCGUUUUCUUAGUAACUGCAUUUAGCGUGUAAAUUUUGUCCGUCAUAGAUUAGUUGUUUUCCUCCAGUUUGCUCAGCUCUUUCUUAUUGUCAGUCAGUGAGUAUCCUGGUCGGUUAUUCUAUUUACUCUGCCUGUCUGAGCUUCUUUGGAUAGUAGUUCUAUUAGUUCGCUCAGCAUUUUUAGUCUGAGCUUCCUUGGUUCUAAUUUAGUUUAAGUUUCCUUAUUGCAUUCUCAGUAUCACUUAGUUGAGCUCUUUGAGUUAGUCUUCGUUUUGGUUUUCUUCCUAGCCAGGUGGUAGCUGGUGUUGGUUGAGCUUUUUGAAAUUCUAUUUUUUGUAUUCUCUUUAUUGUAUAAUAAAUUGUUAAACUGCCUUGGUCUACCGUGUUCUGCGCUUGAGUCUCCGCCCUGCCUGUAGCAGAUCCACUAAUGAAUGUCAGUAUUGCCACUUUAUCAAGACUCUCAAAUGGUUCAUUAAAGUCUCCUUUUAAGA